UCCACUCUUAUAUCCUCUCACCAGUACUUCCACACCACCACCACCACCAUUUCCACCAUAAUUUUCUGGCAAGAUCACUAAAAUAUUCUUGGGAACCCAUAAGCACCUUCACAUCCUUUUUUGAGGUUCUAGUUAAUCUCCUUGGAGCUUGGAGAAUUAGGCUUUUGCGGUUGCGAGUCUUGGUGACAAUGGAAUCAAAUCCAGGUCAGUACCCUUUCACUUUGGAUGACGCGUUCUUCCCUGCUGCCAAUAGAGGGAAGAGGUUCCUUGAUUGUGUGUGGGUGAGCCUGCUGUUCAUGGGGCCAAGAGAUCACAUGCAAAAGAGAUCCUAUUUGACGCGCUCUCUACUGCCCAUAGGGGGAGAGAAAAAUCUUGAGAGUAUGAGUGAGGCUGCUGUCCAUGGGGCCCAGAGUCUACAUAUCAGAGAGAACAAUAUCAUGCCAAUUGUGAAUGGGUGAAUCCCCUGACCAGUUUAUGUGGUAGUGUGGUCUAUUUGUGAUAAUUUACCUUAUGUUAGAUAUUAUGGCUUUGGAAAUUAUAUUAUUGAU